rnacentral:rRNA from 1 species
GAUGAACGCUGGCGGCGUGCCUAAUACACGCAAGUCGAGCGAACAGAUGAGAAGCUUGCUUCUCUGAUGUUAGCGGCGGACGGGUGAGUAACACGUGGGUAACCUACCUAUAAGACUGGGAUAACUCCGGGAAACCGGGGCUAAUACCGGAUAAUAUUUUGAACCGCAUGGUUCAAUAGUGAAAGACGGUUUCGGCUGUCACUUAUAGAUGGACCCGCGCCGUAUUAGCUAGUUGGUAAGGUAACGGCUUACCAAGGCGACGAUACGUAGCCGACCUGAGAGGGUGAUCGUCCACACUGGAACUGAGACACGGUCCAGACUCCUACGGGAGGCAGCAGUAGGGAAUCUUCCGCAAUGGGCGAAAGCCUGACGGAGCAACGCCGCGUGAGUGAUGAAGUUCUUCGGAUCGUAAAACUCUGUUGUUAGGGAAGAACAAAUUUGUUAGUAACUGAACAAGUCUUGACGGUACCUAACCAGAAAGCCACGGCUAACUACGUGCCAGCAGCCGCAGUAA